rnacentral:rRNA from 1 species
GAUGAACGCUGGCGGCGUGCUUAACACAUGCAAGUCGAACGAUGAAGCUCAGCUUGCUGGGUGGAUUAGUGGCGAGCGGGUGAGUAACACGUGAGUAACCUGCCCUUAACUCUGGGAUAAGCCUGGGAAACUAGGUCUAAUACCGGAUAGGAGCGCCUACCGCAUGGUGGGUGUUGGAAAAAUUUAUCGGUUUUGGAUGGACUCGCGGCCUAUCAGCUUGUUGGUGAGGUAAUGGCUCACCAAGGCGACGACGGGUAGCCGGCCUGAGAGGGUGACCGGCCACACUGGGACUGAGACACGGCCCAGACUCCUACGGGAGGCAGCAGUGGGGAAUAUUGCACAAUGGGCGAAAGCCUGAUGCAGCGACGCCGCGUGAGGGAUGACGGCCUUCGGGUUGUAAACCUCUUUCAGUAGGGAAGAAGCGAAAGUGACGGUACCUGCAGAAGAAGCACCGGCUAACUACGUG